rnacentral:misc_RNA from 1 species
AGCAGCCGCGGUAAUUCCAGCUCCAAUAGCGUAUAUUAAAGUUGUUGCAGUUAAAAAGCUCGUAGUUGAAUUUCGGGAUCAGUUGAUCGGUCGUGCCUCGGUACGUACUGGUCAAAUUGAUUCCUACCUUCUGACGAACCACGAUGUCAUUAAUUUGGUGUCGUGGGAAAUCAGGACUGUUACUUUGAAAAAUUAGAGUGUUUAAAGCAGGCUCGCGCUUGAAUACAUUAGCGUGGAAUAAUGAAAUAGGACGUUUGAUUCUAUUUUGUUGGUUUCUAGGAUCGACGUAAUGAUUAAUAGGGAUAGUUGGGGGCAUUAGUAUUCAAUUGUCAGAGGUGAAAUUCUUGGAUUUAUUGAAGACUAACUACUGCGAAAGCAUUUGCCAAGGAUGUUUUCAUUAAUCAAGAACGAAAGUUAGGGGAUCGAAGACGAUCAGAUACCGUCGUAGUCUUAACCAUAAACUAUGCCGACUAGGGAUCGGAUGAUGUUAAUUUUUAAUGACUCAUUCGGCGCCUUACGG